UACGGAGGGGGCGAGCGUUAUUCGGAAUUAUUGGGCGUAAAGGGCGCGUAGGCGGCCUGGCAAGUCAAAGGUGAAAUCCCUCGGCUCAACUGAGGAACUGCCUUUGAAACUGCCAGGCUUGAAUCCGGGAGAGGGAUGCAGAAUUCCAGGUGUAGCGGUGAAAUGCGUAGAUAUCUGGAGGAAUACCGGUGGCGAAGGCGGCAUCCUGGACCGGCAUUGACGCUGAGGAGCGAAAGCUAGGGGAGCAAACGGGG
rnacentral:rRNA from 1 species